rnacentral:lncRNA from 1 species
UUGCUAAAAUCAGAUUCUCGGACAGAUUCGUCCUACUUUACGAAAACGGCCAUAACUCACUCAAUAUGAUAGUUAUGAUCAAAUGGUUGGUGUCCCUGGAAAGUAGACACAUAGACCUUUCCAAUGGUACCAAUUUCACCAAUUUCCAGUGAGUGAGAUUUCCUAUAGGUCUCGUGGAAGUUGACCUACAAAACUUGGCAGAUUCUGAUUUCGCUUUUGAUGUGUCUUUCUUAUGUAGGGAUAGAAUAAGCCUCAACCUUUCAUACCAUUAAGUAUUGAAAAAGGAGUUACUGCCAUUACAUUGGCGUUGCGUGGGCGCAUAGCUACACUUAGCUUUACAACUUUUCAUAGCGAAUGAGAUGUCAAGUCUUUCGUAUUGUGUUGAGUACAUUGAUGCAUCUAAUUGUACUUAGAUAGGAACUCCAUCUCUUAACACAUAUUUGUCAUCUUGCUUUAGACAAAACAACGGAUCUCUCUUUAGAGCAAAGACCUUGACUAAUCAUGGGAGUAUAUGUAGGUCUCACUACUUAUAGAGUGCCUAAGCCGAUUGAUGGAAAAUCAUCAUCAAUACAGUCAUCGAGUGCCUUAUCGAGACCAUGUCUUCCCAAGAUCUUUUUCUUCGGAUGUUGAUACAUAUUGGCAUCUCUUGAUCUAUCAAGAGUCCAUGUAAAUCCGGAAUGAACACGCAAAGGCAUAAUUCACCAUAUCCCUUCCAAAUCAAGUAGAGUCCAUGUGCGUUUCAAUACAUUUAGCAAACGCAUGCUCCUGUGGUUUGGAGCCACUUGAUUCGGAUGAAUGAAGUCCGUUUAAGAUCUUCAUGUAUAUCUCUGAUCCCAUAGAGAUGUUAUUAUGACCACAUUCAUAGGCUGCAUGUUCAGUUAUUCGGAAACUACCAAACUGACAAAGUAGUGGAGUUCAAUGACAUUCAUUACAAGAGCAUAUCUCAUCGUAGUUGAUCCCAGUGCGUGUUAGUGAAAGACCUUGCGCC